rnacentral:rRNA from 1 species
AUGGUUCCUUAGAACAUACUAUCCUUCUUGGAUAACUGUGGUAAUUCUAGAGCUAAUACAUGCACCAGAGCUCCGACCCUUGUGGUACGAGCGCUUUUAUUAGACCAAGACCAAUCGGAGCUUCGGCUCUGUCAGUCUGUGGUGACUCUGGAUAACUUUUAGUGGAUCGCAUGGUCAUCGUGCCGGCGACUCCUCUUUCAAAUGUCUGCCUUAUCAACUUUCGAUGGUAGGUUAAUUGCCUACCAUGGUUGUAACGGGUGACGGGGAAUCAGGGUUCGAUUCCGGAGAGGGAGCCUGAGAAACGGCUACCACAUCCAAGGAAGGCAGCAGGCACGCAAAUUACCCACUCCCAGUACGGGGAGGUAGUGACGAAAAAUAACAAUGCGGGACUCUUACGAGGCCCCGUAAUUGGAAUGAGUCCACUUUAAAUCCUUUAACGAGGACCUAUUGGAGGGCAAGUCUGGUGCCAGCAGCCGCGGUAAUUCCAGCUCCAAUAGCGUAUACUAAAGUUGUUGCGGUUAAAAAGCUCGUAGUUGGAUGUCAGUCGCGGGCGAGUGGUCCACUGUUACGGUGGUUUACUGCUCGUCCCGUGACCUACUGGCCGGCCUCCCCCGCUAUGCUCUUCACCGGGUGUGGCGGGUGGCCGGAAAGUUUACUUUGAAAAAAUUAGAGUGCUCUAAGCAGGUGCUUGCCGCCUGAAUAACACAGCAUGGAAUAAUAGAAUAGGACCUCGGUUCUAUUUUGUUGGUUUUCGGAAUUCCGAGGUAAUGAUUAAUAGGGACAGACGGGGGCAUUCGUAUUGCGGCGCUAGAGGUGAAAUUCUUGGACCGUCGCAAGACGAACUAGUGCGAAAGCAUUUGCCAAGAAUGUUUUCAUUAAUC